UGGAUUUGGUCUUUAACAGGUCCGCUGCGAUGCUACUAAAUGCUCUAGUGACCAUACUUCUGGAACUCCCAUUCACUGUUAUCUGCAAAGUGAGAAGACACAAAAGUAAAUUAGAGUUCUCAAAAUUGAGAGAAAGUAACAACCACUGAAACAAGAAUUUGAGAAAAUAUACGAAUUGGACCCAGCGUCUCAAAAAGGCUCAGAGCAUGAAGAAUAGCAACAUAAAGAGGAAGAAGAUCAUCAACAUACUGCUAGGGAUGAACUCGAAUGAGAGCCAGUUAAACAAUUUGCAAGCCAUUACCAUCCCUAACUGCCAACCAUAUGACUUUUGAUGGAUGCCAGGCUAAAGAGUGAUUUGUGGAAACACAAAACACCAGAUUGUUUGUCAUCCUAACAUGGUGGAUGCCUAUUGUAUGCUGCCUUUCUUCACAAUCCAAAGAAACUGGACUGUUACUAUUAACCAGACAAUUUCAUGGCACAACAGAGUCUAGAGCGAACCACACUCAAAGAAGAUCUUCCAGCUACCAACAACCUUUGACACCAGCACACUCAGGAUAUUAAUACGCCUGCGCCAUGCAACGUCAUUUCUAACAACUAUGCGUGCAUGAACUUUAUAUUGUGUCAAUGAUGGGUAACUGAGUCACAGAACGAUUGUGUGUGUGGUAUCCAGAAAUCCACAACGGUUUGGUACUCAUGCGAGCAACAUAUAGCGAUCCAAUUAUUUAUGUAAAGCAACCCAACCAGAAGCAUAUAAAAAGGAUCA